GUGAGAUGUGGAAAAUAAAUGAGGACCAUAAGAAAGUCCGCUAAUAAUGCCAUUUUUACCCCUCUCUCAAUCUGAAAUCAACCCAAUGCAGGAUGAAACAAAACCAUGCUUAUGAACUGCACAGCAACAUGCAAGCAUUGCCAUUUCUAAUAAAUCCCAGGAAUGGUCGUGCUUGGCAUGGGCACUGCUAACCACAGAUGUGUUCUUUCAGGUUCCUGUGCAUGAGUGUUUCAGCCACCAUGAGAUCUAAUUCCCCCAACAGAUUGAUCCCUUUGAAAUUGUCACCAGAUUACUUUUCAACUGAUAGAGCAUCAUCAAGAUCAGUAGCAGUAGAAGAAAUAAUAGUAAACAAGCACAAACUUCUAGAAUCUCUUCUUCUUCUUAGUCUCAAAUUCAGGUACAUCUCCUUUAAAAUAUAUUGAGUUGUAGUGAACCUCUGCCCAAAACUCAAAGCAUUACUCGCUCAUCGGUGAUUUUUCAUAAGGGUGAACCGCUUCCUAUUUGCAACAUACCAUUCUUCACUACUGGAAGCGCAGAUCACAGCAAUUGGUUGAGCCAGUGGUCAUUGAAGAAACU
rnacentral:lncRNA from 1 species